GAGGAGGGGCGGAUGUACCCAAGUGGAUCAAGGCAGGGGAUUGUGA
rnacentral:tRNA from 1 species